AUGAUGGUAUAGGGAGAGACCGUCCCCCGAAGACGGCGCCGAAGGAGUAAGCCUUGAACCAAGGUGAAUCUCUCAGGCAAAAGGACCUCUGCCGGACG
rnacentral:ncRNA from 2 species